rnacentral:rRNA from 1 species
CCGUUGCCGGCGACCGGCGCACGGGUGAGUAACACGUAUGCAACCUGCCCGUGGCAGGGGGAUAAGCGGGGGAAACCCCGUCUAAUACCGCGUAACGCGGCCUAGGGACAUCCCAAGGCCGCCAAAGGGAGCAAUCCCGGCCACGGAUGGGCAUGCGGCGCAUUAGCUAGUCGGCGGGGUAACGGCCCACCGAGGCGACGAUGCGUAGGGGUUCUGAGAGGAAGGCCCCCCACACUGGAACUGAGACACGGUCCAGACUCCUACGGAAGGCAGCAG